rnacentral:rRNA from 1 species
GACGUAGGGCGCGAGCGUUGUCCGGAUUUAUUGGGCGUAAAGAGCUCGUAGGCGGUCUGUUGCGUCGGCUGUGAAAACCCGGGGCUCAACUCCGGGUCUGCAUUCGAUACGGGCAGACUAGAGUGUGGUAGGGGAGAUCGGAAUUCCUGGUGUAGCGGUGAAAUGCGCAGAUAUCAGGAGGAACACCGGUGGCGAAGGCGGAUCUCUGGGCCAUUACUGACGCUGAGGAGCGAAAGCGUGGGGAGCGAACAGG